rnacentral:rRNA from 1 species
GACAGAGGAUGCAAGCGUUAUCCGGAAUGAUUGGGCAUAAAGCGUCCGCAGGUGGCAGUUCAAGUCUGCUGUCAAAGACCGGGGCUUAACUUCGGAAAGGCAGUGGAAACUGAACAGCUAGAGUAUGGUAGGGGCAGAGGGAAUUCCUGGUGUAGCGGUGAAAUGCGUAGAGAUCUGGAGGAACACCGGUGGCGAAAGCGACUUCCUGGACCAGUACCGACGUUCAGGCACGAAAGCGUGGGGAGCAAACAGG